AUUGAACGCUGGCGGCAGGCCUAACACAUGCAAGUCGAGCGGAUGAAGGGUGCUUGCUCCUGGAUUCCGCGGCGGACGGGUGUGUAAUGCCUAGGAAUCUGCCUCGUAGUGGGGGAUAACGUCCGGAAACGGGCGCUAAUACCGCAUACGUCCUGAGGGAGCAAGUGGGGGAUCUUCGGACCUCACGCUAUCAGAUGAGCCUAGGUCGGAUUAGCUAGUUGGUGGGGUAAAGGCCUACCAAGGCGACGAUCCGUAACUGGUCUGAGAGGAUGAUCAGUCACACUGGAACUGAGACACGGUCCAGACUCCUACGGGAGGCAGCAGUGGGGAAUAUUGGACAAUGGGCGAAAGCCUGAUCCAGCCAUGCCGCGUGUGUGAAGAAGGUCUUCGGAUUGUAAAGCACUUUAAGUUGGGAGGAAGGGCAGUAAGUUAAUACCUUGCUGUUUUGACGUUACCAACAGAAUAAGCACCGGCUAACUUCGUG
rnacentral:rRNA from 1 species